UUCUGCAACCGCGCUUCCUCCUGUGCGAUUACAAGCACAGAGUUUUGAAGAACUUGCCGAACAAAAUCAAAGCAAGGGUAAUUUACAAUCUCAACCAUGUUGCUGCAAACAGGACCCUGGGGCCCAGCUAAGAAGUCAGUUGAGAGGUCACUAGAUUGGCAGACAACAGAGGUUAUCCAUAGAGCUUCCCAUAACCAUCCCAAGUCACAGCCUACUAAAACUUCGUCACUAUCUGCAUUUUCUCGCAUACUUCGGGCUUUCAAUCAUCUUACCAUCAAAAUCCCUGAUAAGUCCUUUGUCACGUAUGAAGGUGGGAAAAUGGAUGAUGAUGGUUCGGUUUUUUUAUAUCAGAAGUAAAACA